AUCUGAGGUCUGACGAGGAUGAGAACCUCCGGGGGCAAGAGGUUCGACUCGAGCGAAGCGAGAGAACGUUGCGUCAGCAACGGCCCGCAGGGCGAGCCACGCUCUAUCACCGGCAGGUUGACGCUCGCACCACCA
rnacentral:sRNA from 1 species